UACGUAGGGGGCAAGCGUUGUCCGGAUUUAUUGGGCGUAAAGAGCGUGUAGGCGGCUAGGUAGGUCCGUUGUGAAAACUCGAGGCUCAACCUCGAGACGCCGAUGGAAACCAUCUAGCUAGAGUCCGGAAGAGGAGAGUGGAAUUCCUGGUGUAGCGGUGAAAUGCGCAGAUAUCAGGAGGAACACCGGCGGCGAAGGCGGCACUCUGGGCCGGUACUGACGCUGAGGAGCGAAAGCCAGGGGAGCAAACGGG
rnacentral:rRNA from 1 species